GACAGAGGUGCCAAGCGUUAGGCGGAAUCACUGGGCUUAAAGCGUGUGUAGGCGGAUUUGUAAGUACCUUGUGAAAUCCCACGGCUCAACCGUGGAACUGCUCGGUAUACUGCUUAUCUUGAGCCACUUAGGGGCUACCGGAACAAAUGGUGGAGCGGUGAAAUGCGUAGAUAUCGGGAGGAACACCGGUGGCGAAGGCGGCUCUCUGGGCCUGUCCGUGACGCUCAGGCGCGAAAAGCUAGGGGAGC
rnacentral:rRNA from 1 species